GACGAACGCUGGCGGCGUGCUUAACACAUGCAAGUCGAACGGAAAGGCCUCUUUCGGGGGGUACUCGAGUGGUGAACGGGUGAGUAACACGUGAGUAACCUGCCCUUGACUUUGGGAUAACUUCAGGAAACUGGGGCUAAUACCGGAUAGGAGCUCCUGCUGCAUGGUGGGGGUUGGAAAGUUUCGGCGGUUGGGGAUGGACUCGCGGCUUAUCAGCUUGUUGGUGGGGUAGUGGCUUACCAAGGCUUUGACGGGUAGCCGGCCUGAGAGGGUGACCGGCCACAUUGGGACUGAGAUACGGCCCAGACUCCUACGGGAGGCAGCAGGGGGGAAUAUUGCACAAUGGGUGGAAGCCUGAUGCAGCAACGCCGUGUGCGGGAUGACGGCCUUCGGGUUGUAAACCGCUUUCGCUCAUGACGAAGCUUUGUGUGACGGUAGUGGGUAAAGAAGCACCGGCUAACUACGUG
rnacentral:rRNA from 1 species